AGUAUACCCGAUUGUGUUAUAAAAGACGAUACGUGUCGUGUUUCUGUUGGCCGAACAUAAUAAUACAAAACAAAAAAAUAAUCCUCCUUUCCUCUCUCUCUUUCUCUCCCGAUAUGCUGAAACGACAAAGGAAUUUGGAAUGAGAAUUUGGAAUGAGAAGGAAGAGUUUGGAAUUGAUUGAUCUGGAAUCAGAGGAAGGGUUUGGAUUCGUGAUUAGUGUUUUAUGAUUAGGGUUCUUUGAUUUUGGAUCGCAAAUUAGGGUUAUGUGAUGUUUGUUAGAAAAUUAGCUAACAGAGCAAGCCUUAGGAAAAUAACAGCCCUGAUUCGUUUUCUUUUAAGUGUUUGUGUGAUUCAAUGAGUUUUUUUUUCGCUUUGAUUGAUCAGGUGGCUCGAGCUUCGGCUUUUGGCUUGGGUCUCGUCUACGGGAACAUGAAGCUCAAGGUCUUGAAGAUCAAAUCAAUGUCACAGAAGAAGGUUGAAGCCACUGAUCAAAGGAAGGAUCUCAUGCUUCUUCAGAAUAUCGUUUAUGUUUCUUGGCAAUAUAUCUGAGUUCUCGUUUAUGUUUCGAUAGUUUAUAGUUUAUUAUCAUCUAGUUUCUAUACUCUGCAUCAUUACCAUUAUCAUAUUCCUCAAAUGGCUUCUAAAUCAUUGACUGUUGUUGCAGGAGAUCGCAGCAUGGCCUCACUGUUUGAGAGUUGAUAAUUGAGCCGAUGCCAAAUAUGUUGCUACAAGCUUCGAUGUCCCUGGGACACGUUGGAGUUUGGGACACGGUGAAGCCAAAUAAGACGAGGUUGAUGGUGAGAUAAAGAGCUAUAGUGUUCUUUGAGGCCAUGUUUUGAAACUUCUACUUGCGCUUUUUUCUUGUUUUUUUUUUUGUUUUGUUUAUGUUGUGUUUGGAGAGGAAUUUUGAGUAAUUAGUUUUGGAGGUGAGGGCUUGAAUUUAUAGUCUUUUAGAAAGUUUAGUUGCUUACCAAUUACUAUAGGAUAUAUAUUUAUGUGAUUAACAAGUAACAAUUAUCUAACGUCUAAUUAAAAGUCAACUGCAAUUUUUUUAUA